AGAAUAAUGAUAAGCCAAAAAAGAUGGUUUAUAUAUAUACUUUUAAAGGUGACAAAUUGGAAAUUACUUCCGGCAACCUGAUGACAUCUUGCAAGUCUUUUGUUUCCUUUUCUAAAGUGCAUUCUGUAUGCUUAAAAGUUUUGAUUCUUCUAAUUCCUGCACUUUCUUAUGCCCGAGUUCUUUUGUACUUUUUUUUUUUGUUUUCUGAAGAAACCGUGUUGUGGGUUUUUCUGUUUUUUCCCAAUAGAGCAAGGGAUCAAUGAUAAAGGAGGCAUCUUUUUCAGGUUUGAGGUUAUGUUUAAUAGUUUUUAUCAAUGAUUUUUUAAAUCAAUAGCCUAUUGUUGUUUUUUUGCUUGAACUAUUUUUAUUUAUCGGUAGCCUUCUUGAUUUUCAAGUUUAGAAGAGAUUUUUGCAGUUUUUUGGGACAAAAACAGCUUGGAUGAGUUUUUAGGAAAAUUGCCUUGAAUUCGCUGGCCUUUUGAUUCUUGCAAGGGGCCUUCUUUGAAGCUAAUCCUUUGUCAUUUGUUGGGACAGGAAUUCUGUUGCAGUCAUUUAAGUCAGGUGGAUAGAAAUACUAUUCGUCAAAAAUGGUAUGUUGAAAUGUCACAGAGUGAGAAGGCUGCACUUUCAUGUCGGAGGCAUGAAGCCAGGCUUUUGGAAAAAAAGGGAGAAAUCCUCACGCUCUUAUGUUCAUAGGGUACUGUUUGGUUGCAUAGAAGCCGGUGUUUGUUUUCCUGGUUCUACUCUUGAGGGCGAUAGCAAGCUACUCUUGAAGGCUGUGGUUUUACUCCUCGAGGUAUAUGUGCCGUUGUAGUAUUUUACUCGUCUAUUCUGUAUCUGUUAGUUUAUUUAGCCUUGUGUCAGAUCAUUAUCUUUGAAUGGCUUCACGUUUCUGUGCCAUUUACGAUUGAAGCCAUCUAUUUUUGCACAUUACAGCAGCUCCAUUGAAUGACAUAGUUCAGGUUACAAAAGGUCAACCAGAAUCUAGUGCUGGAAAAAAAACUGUGUCUUCUCAUCUUUGGCCGAACGUUUGGCCUUCUAUUAAUGAUCAGCCUUCUUAGCACAGUCAUAAAGAAGUCUUACCUAAAGGAUUGCCUGACCUCUUAGAUAACAUUACAGUCUUCAAUGAGAACGAACAAACUUGUGAUUCU